CCUACGGGAGGCAGCAGUAGGGAAUAUUGCUCAAUGGGGGAAACCCUGAAGCAGCAACGCCGCGUGGAGGAUGAAGGUUUUCGGAUUGUAAACUCCUUUUGGUAGAGAAGAGAAUGACGGUAUCUAACGAAUAAGCACCGGCUAACUCCGUGCCAGCAGCCGCGGGAAUACGGAGGGGGCAAGCGUUACUCGGAAUCACUGGGCGUAAAGAGCGCGUAGGCGGGAUUGCAAGUCAGAUGUGAAAUCCUAUGGCUUAACCAUAGAACUGCAUUUGAAACUGUUAGUCUAGAGUAUGGGAGAGGUAGGUGGAAUUCUUGGUGUAGCGGUCAAAUCCGUAGAGAUCAGGAGGAAUACUCAUUGCGAAGGCGACCUGCUAGAACAUAACUGACGCUGAUGCGCGAAAGCGUGGGGAGCAAACAGGAUUAGAUACCCGGGUAGUC
rnacentral:rRNA from 1 species